UGAGUACGAGAUGCUACGGCAUUGAAGCAGUCUAUGUCAUACUUCCAAGAAAAGCUUGCACUGUCAUAAACAAAGAAUGCCUGUACCAUAACCGACACAGGUGGGUGGUAGAGUAUACUAAGGGGCGCGAGAUAACUCUCUCUAAGGAACUCGGCAAAAUGACUCCGUAACUUCGGGAGAAGGAGUGCCUUAUUUUUAAGGUUGCAAUAACAAGAUCCAAGCAACUGUUUAUCAAAAACACAGGUCUCCGCUAAGUCGUAAGACGAUGUAUGGGGGCUGACGCCUGCCCAGUGCCAGAAGGUUAAAGAAGUUGGUUAGCAUUCGCGAAGCUGAUAACUGAAGCCCUGGUGAACGGCGGCCGUAACUAUAACGGUCCUAAGGUAGCGAAAUUCCUUGUCGGGUAAGUUCCGACCCGCACGAAAGGCGUAAUGAUUUGGAUACUGUCUCGGAGAGGGACUCGGUGAAAUAGACUUGUCUGUGAAGAUGCGGACUACCUGCACCUGGACAGAAAGACCCUAUGAAGCUUUACUGUAACUUGAAAUUGAAAUUGGACUUUAGUUGCGCAGGAUAGGUGGGAGGCGUUGAGAAUAUUCUUGCGGGAGUGUUGGAGCCAUCAGUGAGAUACCACUCUUCUAAUGUUAGAUUUCUAACUUUGUAUCAUUAUCUGGUCAAAGAACAGUUUCAGGCGGGCAGUUUGACUGGGGCGGUCGCCUCCUAAAGGGUAACGGAGGCGCACAAAGGUUUCCUCUGAACGAGUAGAAAUCGUAUCUAGAGUGUAAAGGCAUAAGGAAGCUUGACUGUGAGACCUACAAGUCGAGCAGGGACGAAAGUCGGUCUUAGUGAUCUGACGGUGCUGAGUGGAAAGGCCGUCACUCAACGGAUAAAAGUUACUCUAAGGAUAACAGGCUGAUCUCCCCCAAGAGUUCACAUCGACGGGGAGGUUUGGCACCUCGAUGUCGGCUCAUCGCAUCCUGGGGCGGUAGUACGUCCCAAGGGUUGGGCUGUUCGCCCAUGAAAGCGGUACGCGAGCUGGGUUCAGAACGUCGUGAGACAGUUCGGUCCAUAUCCGGUGUAGGCGUUAGAAUAUUGAGAGGAGCCUUCUCUAGUACGAGAGGACCGAGAAGGACAUACCUCUAGUGUACCAGUUAUCGUGCCAACGGUAAACGCUGGGUAGCUAUGUAUGGAGUGGAUAACCGCUGAAAGCAUCUAAGUGGGAAGCCCACCUCAAGAUAAG
rnacentral:rRNA from 1 species